rnacentral:rRNA from 1 species
UGGGGAAUUUUGCGCAAUGGGGGAAACCCUGACGCAGCAACGCCGCGUGAGUGAUGAAGGCCCUUGGGUCGUAAAGCUCUGUCAGUGGGAACGAAGUGUCGGCGGUUAAUACCUGACCGAUUUGACGGUACCCACAAAGGAAGCACCGGCUAACUCC